rnacentral:rRNA from 1 species
UAAAUUGAGAGUUUGAUCCUGGCUCAGGACAAACGCUGGCGGCGUGCUUAACACAUGCAAGUCGAACGGGAUUUAGUAAACAGAAACCUCGGUGGAAGAUUACUAAUGAGAGUGGCGAACGGGUGAGUAACGCGUGAGCAACCUGCCUAUGACAGUGGGAUAGCCUCGGGAAACCGGGAUUAAUA